GCCAGUGUGGUGUAGUGGUUUGAGUGCUGAGCUAUGACUCAGAAGACCAGGGUUCGAAUCUCUGUUUGGCC